UUUCCGUAGGUGAACCUGCGGAAGGAUCAUUGAUGAAUAACACUGGUGAUUGCAAUCCAAUAUUCUUGGAUUUGCGCAUCAGGCAAACAACUAUACAUGUGAAGGAUGCUUGCAUCCUUGUACACAACUAAUCACUAUUGAUUUAUUUAAUAUCACUAAUAAUACAAAACUUUCAACAAUGGAUCUCUUGGCUCUU
rnacentral:misc_RNA from 1 species